AUGGAUAUGCCACAGUUGGUGCAGCCAUUUAACUGUGGAAGGGUGCUGCCUUCUCCCCUGUGCCCUGUGGCCCGGCCCGGCCUGGUCCCAGAGCUGAGCCCGGAGGAGGAGCAGGCCACUAAGCAGUUUCUUGAAGAGAUUAACAAGUGGACCGUUCAGUACAAUGUUUCCCCACUCUCCUGGAAUGUGGCGGUCAAGUUCCUCAUGGCCAGGAAAUUUGAUGUGCUCAGGGCCAUUGAGCAGUUCCACUCCUACAGAGAGACACACGAAAGAAGGAAGGCAUCAUAAAGCUGAAACCUCACGUAGAAUCUCUCCGUUCUGAGAUCCUUAGUGGGCAGUUCACCAUCCUAAGUGUGCAAGACCCCACGGGAGCCUCCAUGGCCCUCUUCACUGCCAGGCUGCACCAUCCCCGCAAGUCAGUCCAACAUAUGGUCCUCUAGGCACUGUUUUACUUGCUGGACAGGGCUGUUGAUAGCUUUGAGACUCAGAGGAAUGGUUUGGUGUUUAUCUAUGACAUAUGUGGUUCUAAUUAUGCAAACUUUGAGCUGGAUCUUGGCAAGAAAGUCCUCAACCUGCUGAAGAGAGCAUUUCCAGCCGGCUUGAAAAAGGUGCUGGUUGUGAGUGCACCCAUCUGGUUGCGAGUGCCCUAUUCCCUCAUCAGCCUUCUCUUGAAGGACAAAGUGCGGGAGAGGAUUCAGAUAUUAAAGACAUCUGAGGUUACCCAGCACUUGCCCAGGGAGUGCUUUCCAGAAAACCUGGGUGGAUACGUCAGAAUCGACCUCACCACGUGGAAUUUCCAACUCCUGCCCCAGGUGAUCGGCCACCCAGAUCCCUUUGAUGAGAUCAUCCUGUCCUCCUUCCCUCCUGCCUCAGACUGGGACUCAGUACAUGUUCCAGGUCCCCAUGCCAUGACUAUCCACGAGCUGGUGGACUAUGUUAAUACUAGGCAAAAGCGGGGGAUCUAUGAAGAGUAUGAAGACAUUCGUCGGGAGAACCCCGCUGGCACUUUUCACUGUUCCAUGUCUCCAGGAAACCUAAAGAAGAAUUGUUAUGGGGACGUCCCAUGCCUGGACCAAACUUGAGUGAAGCUGACAAAACAAAGUGGCCACACUCAGACAGAUUACAUCAAUGCAGCUUCAUGGAUGGCUACAAGCAGAAGAAUGCUUACAUCAGCACCCAGGGCCCUUUGGAAAACACCUAUCGUGACUUUUGGCUCAUGGUGUAGGAGCAGAAGGUUUUGGUGAUUGUCAUGAUCACACGCUUUGAGGAAGGUGGCAGGAGGAAGCGUGGCCAGUACUGGCCUCUAGAGAAGGACACUCGGAUCCAAUUUGGCUUCCUCACAGUGACCAACUUGGGUGUGGAGAACAUGAACCAUUAUAAGAAAACAACACUUGAAAUUCACAACACAGAGGAGAGGGAGAAACACUAGGUGACCCACUUCCAAUUCCUCAGCUGGCCAGACUAUGGUGUCCCUUCCUCGGCAGCGUCGCUCACUGACUUCCUGAGGGCCUUCAGGAGCCAGCAGAGCCUGGCCAUCAGCAGCAUGGGUGCCCGCUCCAAGGGGCAAUGCCCUGAGCAGCUGCCCAUUGUAGUCCACUUCAGUGCAGGCAUCAGCAGGACAGGUACCUUCUGCUCUCUGGACAUCUUCCUGGCACAGCUGGAAGAACUUGGCACCCUCAAUGUGUUCCAGACAGUGUCAUGCAUGUGGACCCAAAAGGCCUUCAGCAUCCAGACCUCCGAGCAGUACUAUUUCUGCUACAAGGUCAUCCUGGAGUUUGCAGAAAAGGAAGGCAUGGUACCCUCUGGCCAUAACCUGCUGGCCAUGGAGGGUCAGUAACUACCCCACAGUGUCCUGCCUGCUGGCCAGCCUCCCUUAGACCACCCUGGA